rnacentral:rRNA from 1 species
AACGAACGCUGGCGGCAUGCCUAACACAUGCAAGUCGAACGAGACCUUCGGGUCUAGUGGCGCACGGGUGCGUAACGCGUGGGAACCUGCCCUUAGGUUCGGAAUAACUCCCCGAAAGGGGUGCUAAAACCGGAUAAUGUCUUCGGACCAAAGAUUUAUCGCCUUUGGAUGGGCCCGCGUUGGAUUAGCUAGUUGGUAGGGUAAAAGCCUACCAAGGCGACGAUCCAUAGCUGGUCUGAGAGGAUGAUCAGCCACACUGGGACUGAGACACGGCCCAGACUCCUACGGGAGGCAGCAGUGGGGAAUAUUGGACAAUGGGCGAAAGCCUGAUCCAGCAAUGCCGCGUGAGUGAUGAAGGCCUUAGGGUUGUAAAGCCCUUUUACCCGGGAUGAUAAUGACAGUACCGGGAGAAUAAGCUCCGGCUAACUCCGUG